UGAAACAUCUUCGGGUUGUGAGGUUAAGCGACUAAGCGUACACGGUGGAUGCCCUGGCAGUCAGAGGCGAUGAAGGACGUGCUAAUCUGCGAUAAGCGUCGGUGAGGUGAUGUGAACCGUUAUAACCGGCGAUUUCCGAAUGGGGAAACCCAGUGUGUUUCGACACACUAUCAUUAACUGAAUCCAUAGGUUAAUGAGGCGAACCGGGGGAACUGAAACAUCUAAGUACCCCGAGGAAAAGAAAUCAACCGAGAUUCCCCCAGUAGCGGCGAGCGAACGGGGAGGAGCCCAGAGCCUGAAUCAGUGUGUGUGUUAGUGGAAGCGUCUGGAAAGGCGUGCGAUACAGGGUGACAGCCCCGUACACAAAAAUGCACAUAUUGUGAGCUCGAUGAGUAGGGCGGGACACGUGGUAUCCUGUCUGAAUAUGGGGGGACCAUCCUCCAAGGCUAAAUACUCCUGACUGACCGAUAGUGAACCAGUACCGUGAGGGAAAGGCGAAAAGAACCCCGGCGAGGGGAGUGAAAAAGAACCUGAAACCGUGUACGUACAAGCAGUGGGAGCCUCUUAAUGGGGUGACUGCGUACCUUUUGUAUAAUGGGUCAGCGACUUAUAUUCUGUAGCAAGGUUAACCGAAUAGGGGAGCCGAAGGGAAACCGAGUCUUAACUGGGCGUUAAGUUGCAGGGUAUAGACCCGAAACCCGGUGAUCUAGCCAUGGGCAGGUUGAAGGUUGGGUAACACUAACUGGAGGACCGAACCGACUAAUGUUGAAAAAUUAGCGGAUGACUUGUGGCUGGGGGUGAAAGGCCAAUCAAACCGGGAGAUAGCUGGUUCUCCCCGAAAGCUAUUUAGGUAGCGCCUCGUGAAUUCAUCUCCGGGGGUAGAGCACUGUUUCGGCAAGGGGGUCAUCCCGACUUACCAACCCGAUGCAAACUGCGAAUACCGGAGAAUGUUAUCACGGGAGACACACGGCGGGUGCUAACGUCCGUCGUGAAGAGGGAAACAACCCAGACCGCCAGCUAAGGUCCCAAAGUCAUGGUUAAGUGGGAAACGAUGUGGGAAGGCCCAGACAGCCAGGAUGUUGGCUUAGAAGCAGCCAUCAUUUAAAGAAAGCGUAAUAGCUCACUGGUCGAGUCGGCCUGCGCGGAAGAUGUAACGGGGCUAAACCAUGCACCGAAGCUGCGGCAGCGACACUAUGUGUUGUUGGGUAGGGGAGCGUUCUGUAAGCCUGUGAAGGUGGCCUGUGAGGGUUGCUGGAGGUAUCAGAAGUGCGAAUGCUGACAUAAGUAACGAUAAAGCGGGUGAAAAGCCCGCUCGCCGGAAGACCAAGGGUUCCUGUCCAACGUUAAUCGGGGCAGGGUGAGUCGACCCCUAAGGCGAGGCCGAAAGGCGUAGUCGAUGGGAAACAGGUUAAUAUUCCUGUACUUGGUGUUACUGCGAAGGGGGGACGGAGAAGGCUAUGUUGGCCGGGCGACGGUUGUCCCGGUUUAAGCGUGUAGGCUGGUUUUCCAGGCAAAUCCGGAAAACCAAGGCUGAGGCGUGAUGACGAGGCACUACGGUGCUGAAGCGACAAAUGCCCUGCUUCCAGGAAAAGCCUCUAAGCAUCAGGUAACAUCAAAUCGUACCCCAAACCGACACAGGUGGUCAGGUAGAGAAUACCAAGGCGCUUGAGAGAACUCGGGUGAAGGAACUAGGCAAAAUGGUGCCGUAACUUCGGGAGAAGGCACGCUGAUAUGUAGGUGAAGCGACUUGCUCGUGGAGCUGAAAUCAGUCGAAGAUACCAGCUGGCUGCAACUGUUUAUUAAAAACACAGCACUGUGCAAACACGAAAGUGGACGUAUACGGUGUGACGCCUGCCCGGUGCCGGAAGGUUAAUUGAUGGGGUUAGCGGUAACGCGAAGCUCUUGAUCGAAGCCCCGGUAAACGGCGGCCGUAACUAUAACGGUCCUAAGGUAGCGAAAUUCCUUGUCGGGUAAGUUCCGACCUGCACGAAUGGCGUAAUGAUGGCCAGGCUGUCUCCACCCGAGACUCAGUGAAAUUGAACUCGCUGUGAAGAUGCAGUGUACCCGCGGCAAGACGGAAAGACCCCGUGAACCUUUACUAUAGCUUGACACUGAACAUUGAGCCUUGAUGUGUAGGAUAGGUGGGAGGCUUUGAAGUGUGGACGCCAGUCUGCAUGGAGCCGACCUUGAAAUACCACCCUUUAAUGUUUGAUGUUCUAACGUUGGCCCGUAAUCCGGGUUGCGGACAGUGUCUGGUGGGUAGUUUGACUGGGGCGGUCUCCUCCUAAAGAGUAACGGAGGAGCACGAAGGUUGGCUAAUCCUGGUCGGACAUCAGGAGGUUAGUGCAAUGGCAUAAGCCAGCUUGACUGCGAGCGUGACGGCGCGAGCAGGUGCGAAAGCAGGUCAUAGUGAUCCGGUGGUUCUGAAUGGAAGGGCCAUCGCUCAACGGAUAAAAGGUACUCCGGGGAUAACAGGCUGAUACCGCCCAAGAGUUCAUAUCGACGGCGGUGUUUGGCACCUCGAUGUCGGCUCAUCACAUCCUGGGGCUGAAGUAGGUCCCAAGGGUAUGGCUGUUCGCCAUUUAAAGUGGUACGCGAGCUGGGUUUAGAACGUCGUGAGACAGUUCGGUCCCUAUCUGCCGUGGGCGCUGGAGAACUGAGGGGGGCUGCUCCUAGUACGAGAGGACCGGAGUGGACGCAUCACUGGUGUUCGGGUUGUCAUGCCAAUGGCACUGCCCGGUAGCUAAAUGCGGAAGAGAUAAGUGCUGAAAGCAUCUAAGCACGAAACUUGCCCCGAGAUGAGUUCUCCCUGAGACUUAGAGUCUCCUGAAGGAACGUUGAAGACGACGACGUUGAUAGGCCGGGUGUGUAAGCGCAGCGAUGCGUUGAGCUAACCGGUACUAAUGAACCGUGAGGCUUAACCUU
rnacentral:rRNA from 1 species